rnacentral:rRNA from 1 species
GACGAACGCUGGCGGCGUGCUUAACACAUGCAAGUCGAACGGAAAGGCCCUGCUUUUGUGGGGUGCUCGAGUGGCGAACGGGUGAGUAACACGUGAGUAACCUGCCCUUGACUUUGGGAUAACUUCAGGAAACUGGGGCUAAUACCGGAUAGGAGCUCCUACUGCAUGGUGGGGGUUGGAAAGUUUCGGCGGUUGGGGAUGGACUCGCGGCUUAUCAGCUUGUUGGUGGGGUAGUGGCUUACCAAGGCUUUGACGGGUAGCCGGCCUGAGAGGGUGACCGGCCACAUUGGGACUGAGAUACGGCCCAGACUCCUACGGGAGGCAGCAGUGGGGAAUAUUGCACAAUGGGCGGAAGCCUGAUGCAGCAACGCCGCGUGCGGGAUGACGGCCUUCGGGUUGUAAACCGCUUUCGCCUGUGACGAAGCGUGAGUGACGGUAAUGGGUAAAGAAGCACCGGCUAACUACGUGCCAGCAGCCGCGGUGAUACGUAGGGUGCGAGCGUUGUCCGGAUUUAUUGGGCGUAAAGGGCUCGUAGGUGGUUGAUCGCGUCGGAAGUGUAAUCUUGGGGCUUAACCCUGAGCGUGCUUUCGAUACGGGUUGACUUGAGGAAGGUAGGGGAGAAUGGAAUUCCUGGUGGAGCGGUGGAAUGCGCAGAUAUCAGGAGGAACACCAGUGGCGAAGGCGGUUCUCUGGGCCUUUCCUGACGCUGAGGAGCGAAAGCGUGGGGAGCGAACAGGCCUAGAUACCCUGGUAGUCCACGCUGUAAACGGUGGGUACUAGGUGUGGGGUCCAUUCCACGGGUUCCGUGCCGUAGCUAACGCUUUAAGUACCCCGCCUGGGGAGUACGGCCGCAAGGCUAAAACUCAAAGGAAUUGACGGGGCCCCGCACAAGCGGCGGAGCAUGCGGAUUAAUUCGAUGCAACGCGUAGAACCUUACCUGGGUUUGACAUGGAUCGGGAGUGCUCAGAGAUGGGUGUGCCUCUUUUGGGGUCGGUUCACAGGUGGUGCAUGGCUGUCGUCAGCUCGUGUCGUGAGAUGUUGGGUUAAGUCCCGCAACGAGCGCAACCCUUGUUCACUGUUGCCAGCACGUUAUGGUGGGGACUCAGUGGAGACCGCCGGGGUCAACUCGGAGGAAGGUGGGGAUGACGUCAAGUCAUCAUGCCCCUUAUGUCCAGGGCUUCACGCAUGCUACAAUGGCUGGUACAGAGAGUGGCGAGCCUGUGAGGGUGAGCGAAUCUCGGAAAGCCGGUCUCAGUUCGGAUUGGGGUCUGCAACUCGACCUCAUGAAGUCGGAGUCGCUAGUAAUCGCAGAUCAGCAACGCUGCGGUGAAUACGUUCCCGGGGCU